UCCUCUGAAUGAGGUGUUGAGCUCUACGGGGAUUUCUCCUGGAUUUAUGUUCUCCCUCCUCUGAAUGGGGUGUUGAGCUCUACGGGGAUUUCUCCUGGAUUUAUGUUCUCCCUCCUCUGAAUGAGGUGUUGAGCUCUACGGGGAUUUCUCCUGGAUUUAUGUUCUCCCUCCUCUGAAUGAGGUGUUGAGCUCUACGGGGAUUUCUCCUGGAUUUAUGUUCUCCCUCCUCUGAAUGAGGUGUUGAGCUCUACGGGGAUUUCUCCUGGAUUUAUGUUCUCCCUCCUCUGAAUGAGGUGUUGAGCUCUACGGGGAUUUCUCCUGGAUUUAUGUUCUCCCUCCUCUGAAUGAGGUGUUGAGCUCUACGGGGAUUUCUCCUGGAUUUAUGUUCUCCCUCCUCUGAAUGGGGUGUUGAGCUCUACGGGGAUUUCUCCUGGAUUUAUGUUCUCCCUCCUCUGAAUGGGAUGUUGAGCUCUACGGGGAUUUCUCCUGGAUUUAUGUUCUCCCUCCUCUGAAUGGGGUGUUGAGCUCUACGGGGAUUUCUCCUGGAUUUAUGUUCUCCCUCCUCUGAAUGGGGUGUUGAGCUCUACGGGGAUUUCUCCUGGAUUUAUGUUCUCCCUCCUCUGAAUGGGAUGUUGAGCUCUACGGGGAUUUCUCCUGGAUUUAUGUUCUCCCUCCUCUGAAUGGGGUGUUGAGCUCUACGGGGAUUUCUCCUGGAUUUAUGUUCUCCCUCCUCUGAAUGAGGUGUUGAGCUCUACGGGGAUUUCUCCUGGAUUUAUGUUCUCCCUCCUCUGAAUGAGGUGUUGAGCUCUACGGGGAUUUCUCCUGGAUUUAUGUUCUCCCUCCUCUGAAUGGGGUGUUGAGCUCUACGGGGAUUUCUCCUGGAUUUAUGUUCUCCCUCCUCUGAAUGAGGUGUUGAGCUCUACGGGGAUUUCUCCUGGAUUUAUGUUCUCCCUCCUCUGAAUGGGGUGUUGAGCUCUACGGGGAUUUCUCCUGGAUUUAUGUUCUCCCUCCUCUGAAUGAGGUGUUGAGCUCUACGGGGAUUUCUCCUGGAUUUAUGUUCUCCCUCCUCUGAAUGAGGUGUUGAGCUCUACGGGGAUUUCUCCUGGAUUUAUGUUCUCCCUCCUCUGAAUGGGGUGUUGAGCUCUACGGGGAUUACUCCUGGAUUUAUGUUCUCCCUCCUCUGAAUGAGGUGUUGAGCUCUACGGGGAUUUCUCCUGGAUUUAUGUUCUCCCUCCUCUGAAUGGGGUGUUGAGCUCUACGGGGAUUUCUCCUGGAUUUAUGUUCUCCUCC